UAAACAAAGAUCAUUUUGACCAAUUUUUACAUAUUCGACCUCUCAUAAAGGUGCAUAACAUCUAUUCCGAGCCCUUUUGAAUCGGCUCAUAUAUCUUUCAAUCGAUUCAUCAGGUUGUUGUGUAAACAUAUCCAAAUCUACAACUGACACCUCAGGUUCGAUUUUAUAGAAUUAUGCAUGAAAUUGACUUUUCAUUUCUUACCAAGAAUAAAUAGAAUUAGACG
rnacentral:lncRNA from 1 species